rnacentral:rRNA from 1 species
UACGGAGGAUCCAAGCGUUAUCCGGAUUUACUGGGCGUAAAGAGCGUGUAGGCGGCCAAGCAGGUCCGUUGUGAAAACUGGAGGCUUAACCUCCAGACGUCGACGGAAACCGCGUGGCUAGAGUCCGGAAGAGGAGAGUGGAAUUCCUGGUGUAGCGGUGAAAUGCGCAGAUAUCAGGAAGAACACCAAUGGCGAAAGCAGCUCUCUGGGACGGUACUGACGCUGAGACGCGAAAAGCGUGGGGGAGCGAAACAGG